AGUGAACGCUGGCGGUAGGCCUAACACAUGCAAGUCGAACGGCAGCACAGGAGAGCUUGCUCUCUGGGUGGCGAGUGGCGGACGGGUGAGGAAUACAUCGGAAUCUACUCUGUCGUGGGGGAUAACGUAGGGAAACUUACGCUAAUACCGCAUACGACCUACGGGUGAAAGCAGGGGAUCAUCGGACCUUGCGCGAAUGAAUGAGCCGAUGUCGGAUUAGCUAGUUGGCGGGGUAAAGGCCCACCAAGGCGACGAUCCGUAGCUGGUCUGAGAGGAUGAGCAGCCACACUGGAACUGAGACACGGUCCAGACUCCUACGGGAGGCAGCAGUGGGGAAUAUUGGACAAUGGGCGCAAGCCUGAUCCAGCCAUACCGCGUGGGUGAAGAAGGCCUUCGGGUUGUAAAGCCCUUUUGUUGGGAAAGAAAUCCAGCUGGCUAAUACCCGGUUGGGAUGACGGUACCCAAAGAAUAAGCACCGGCUAACUUCGUGCCAGCCGCCGCCGUAA
rnacentral:rRNA from 1 species